rnacentral:sRNA from 1 species
UUAGACGAGAUGUGGUCCAUAGUAAAU